UAAUUGGCAGAGCCAGGAUUCAAGC
rnacentral:miRNA from 1 species